rnacentral:rRNA from 1 species
UACAGAGGUCUCGAGCGUUGUUCGGAUUCAUUGGGCGUAAAGGGUGCGUAGGUGGCUAGGUAAGUCGGAUGUGAAAUCUCGGGGCUCAACCCCGAAACUGCAUUCGAUACUGCCUGGCUAGAGUACUGGAGAGGAGAUUGGAAUUUACGGUGUAGCAGUGAAAUGCGUAGAUAUCGUAAGGAAGACCAGUGGCGAAGGCGGGUCUCUGGACAGUUCCUGACGCUGAGGCACGAAGGCCAGGGGAGCAAACGGG